AGCGCAGGAACUGACGGAACUCUUCGGAGGGAAGGCAGCGGAAUGAGCGGCGGACGGGUGAGUAACACGUAAGGAACCUGCCUCAAGGAUUGGGAUAACUCCGAGAAAUCGGAGCUAAUACCGGAUAGUUCAUCGGACCGCAUGGUCCGCUGAUGAAAGGCGCUUCGGCGUCACCUUGAGAUGGCCUUGCGGUGCAUUAGCUAGUUGGUGGGGUAACGGCCCACCAAGGCGACGAUGCAUAGCCGACCUGAGAGGGUGAUCGGCCACACUGGGACUGAGACACGGCCCAGACUCCUACGGGAGGCAGCAGUAGGGAAUCUUCCACAAUGGACGAAAGUCUGAUGGAGCAACGCCGCGUGAGUGAUGAAGGUUUUCGGAUCGUAAAACUCUGUUGUAAGGGAAGAACACGUACGAGAGGGAAUGCUCGUACCUUGACGGUACCUUACGAGAAAGCCACGGCUAACUACGUGCCAGCAGCCGCGGUAAUACGUAGGUGGCAAGCGUUGUCCGGAAUUAUUGGGCGUAAAGCGCGCGCAGGCGGCCUUUUAAGUCUGAUGUGAAAGCCCCCGGCUCAACCGGGGAGGGCCAUUGGAAACUGGAAGGCUUGAGUACAGAAGAGAAGAGUGGAAUUCCACGUGUAGCGGUGAAAUGCGUAGAGAUGUGGAGGAACACCAGUGGCGAAGGCGACUCUUUGGUCUGUAACUGACGCUGAG
rnacentral:rRNA from 1 species